AGUGAACGCUGGCGGUAGGCCUAACACAUGCAAGUCGAGCGGCAGCACAGUAAGAGCUUGCUCUUACGGGUGGCGAGUGGCGGACGGGUGAGGAAUACAUCGGAAUCUACUUUUUCGUGGGGGAUAACGUAGGGAAACUUACGCUAAUACCGCAUACGACCUACGGGUGAAAGCAGGGGAUCUUCGGACCUUGCGCGAUUGAAUGAGCCGAUGUCGGAUUAGCUAGUUGGCGGGGUAAAGGCCCACCAAGGCGACGAUCCGUAGCUGGUCUGAGAGGAUGAUCAGCCACACUGGAACUGAGACACGGUCCAGACUCCUACGGGAGGCAGCAGUGGGGAAUAUUGGACAAUGGGCGCAAGCCUGAUUCAGCCAUACCGCGUGGGUGAAGAAGGCCUUCGGGUUGUAAAGCCCUUUUGUUGGGAAAGAAAAGCAGCAGGUUAAUACCCCGCUGUUCUGACGGUACCCAAAGAAUAAGCACCGGCUAACUUCGUG
rnacentral:rRNA from 1 species